rnacentral:rRNA from 1 species
GAGGCUUUCGGACUGGCCCGGGGAGGUCGGCAACGACCACCCAGGGCCGGAAAGUUAUCCGAACUCGGUCAUUUAGAGGAAGUAAAAGUCGUAACAAGGUCUCCGUUGGUGAACCAGCGGAGGGAUCAUUAUCGAGUUUAAAUCAAGCUCAAAACCCUUCUGUGUACCGUCAAAACGUUGCCUCGGCGGGCUCUCCGCCCGCCGGUGUGCCGCAACCAAAACCCUUCCAUACAACAUGAGUCUGAGUGGACAAAACAAAAUAAGUCAAAACUUUCAGCAACGGAUCUCUUGGCUCUGGCAUCGAUGAAGAACGCAGCGAAAUGCGAUAAGUAAUGUGAAUUGCAGAAUUCAGCGAAUCAUCGAAUCUUUGAACGCACAUUGCGCCCGCUGGUACUCCGGCGGGCAUGCCUGUCCGAGCGUCGUCAAAACCCCCUCCGGCGCGAUCCUCCCUCAACGGGGAGGCUUCGCCGCCGGGCGUUGGGGCACCGCCCGACCCACGUCGGUCCCGCGGGCCCUCAAAUGCAGCGGCGGACGCCCUCGAGCCCCCCAGCGCAGUAGCUUUGCCCUCGCUGACGGUGGCCGUGAGCUGUCCCUAGCCCCCCCAGCGGAAGCCCCUAGCCGGGCUGACGCGACCCCCCUCAUCAAGUUUGACCUCGGAUCAGGUAGGACUACCCGCUGAACUUAAGCAUAUCAAUAAGCGGAGGAAAAGAAACCAACAGGGGAUUGCCUCAGUAACGGGCGAGUGAAGCGGCAACAGCUCAAAUUUGAAAUCUGGCCUCGGCCCGAGUUGUAAUUUGCAGAGGAUGCUUCUGGCAACGUGCCUUCCGAGUCCCCUGGAACGGGGCGCCGGAGAGGGUGAGAGCCCCGUACGGUUGGACGCCGCGCCUGUGUGAAGCUCCUUCGACGAGUCGAGUAGUUUGGGAAUGCUGCUCUAAGCGGGAGGUAAAUUCCUUCUAAAGCUAAAUACCGGCCAGAGACCGAUAGCGCACAAGUAGAGUGAUCGAAAGAUGAAAAGCACUUUGGAAAGAGGGUUAAAAAGUACGUGAAAUUGCUGAAAGGGAAGCGCCUGCGACCAGACUCGCGCCGGGCGAAUCAUCCAGCGUUCUCGCUGGUGCACUUCGCCCGGUCCGGGCCAGCAUCGGUUCUGACGGGGGGACAAAAGCCCGGGAAAUGUAGCUCCCUCCGGGGAGUGUUAUAGUCCCUCGCCUAAUACCCCCGCCGGGACCGAGGACCGCGCUU